rnacentral:misc_RNA from 1 species
CCCACCUCUAUAGUUGAAGGGGUCUUGCCUUGCAGGUUACUUGGUGACCUUACUAUUGCUGGUGCUAUGUAAAAUGCACCCAGUACACUCUAAAGUGGUUGGUAUCAGCAAGGACAUCCAGAUGUAAAAAUGAUGCCAAAGUAGACAUUGGGAGCUAAGUGCAGUCCUCUGGCCUGCUGGCUUCUGUCCAACCCAUGCCAGCAUAGAAAAUGGGUGUUAAAUGGGAAUGAUGGUGUGUUUAUAGAAUUGAGUGUACUUCAGUUAUUGUUAUUAGUUUUAAUUAGCCAUAGUAAGUUCUUUCCCAUAUGGCAGUGGUAUUCUCUUUACAAUUUAUAAAAGAUGACAUAGAAUAUUGGGAAUUUGAUAGUGCAGGCUCCUCUGUUUCACAUAUUUUCAAUAUAUUUUGUAUGAACCAGUGAGGGAGUGUCUAUGCGGUUGCUCAAACAGCUAGAGGUAGAAGCCAAAUCUACCCCAAUAUCACUGUCUUACAAUCUUGAGAAGCAGGGACACAAUGGAUAUAGGGGUUCUGACAGGCUGCAGCAUCAUUGAUCAUAAGUCUGCUUGAUUAGUGCUGACCUUUGGCUAAACAUUAUUAUUCUACAAUCAAUUUACCAAGGCUGGUCUCUUGCAAUGGAUUACAAGGGAGGAAUGAAUGAAAACAAUGUUGAUAUCGGCAUUGCUGCUACCACUUUAAAGCCAACACCAGAAGAAAUCACUGUCAGUGUUCCGGAAAAUGUGACAGCAAUAGUCAUGAAUGAAGUUGGUGAUCCUACAGUGGCUUUGACAGGCUCUACAAAUGUAGCAGUCGAUGGUGAAGACACUGUCACAACUACUGUUGCUGAAGGGUUGACUGUAUCGAAUUCGGUUAUUAAUGUCGAACCACCAAUAGCAAAACCACCACCUCGGGUUGUAAAUACAGCACAUUUAAUGACACAUAUUGUCAAUCCAGAUUUGAGUGAUGACUCAGUUUUUUCUGGAGAUGAUGAUUCCUGUGAUGGGGAGCCAGCAGAGAAGCGGAUGAAGUUAGAACAAGAUAUCAAUAUUGAUAUGGACCAAUCGUUAAAGCAAAUUUUAUUUAAUAUCAACAAGGCAAUCUGUUUAAGGCUUGAUAGUAUAGAAAACAAGCUUGAAAAUGUUGGAUUACGAACAAAAUAUUUGGAAGUUAAACUACUAGAUUUGGUAAAUCAGAAUAAGACUGGCAGUAGCAAUACAAAUUCAUACGCUAUGAAACGAGGCUCCACAUCUCCUUCACGACGUUCCGGUGCCCUUAUCGUUGGUCUUCCACAAGACAGAAAUAGUGAGGAUGAGAGUCAAUUUCAGAAAGGAAUAGAUUCUGAUAUCUUACAAACCAUGCAAUUAGAAAACAAAGACAAAAAAGGCAAGUUGUUGACUCCCAGUGAUUUCAAUUCAAAUGUGGAUAGUAACUUCAGAAACAUUGGUCCAAAUGUUACAUUAAUAACAUUAAAUUCUGAAGAGGAUUAUCCAAAUGGGUGCUGGCUUGGUGAUGAGCUUAAUCUUGAAAUGCGGGUGCGUGUGCCUAUAUCUUCAAGUGACCUUCUUCAUAUUCAUUCUAAUUGUCGAACAGCUGAAAAAAUGGCAUUGACUCUACUUGAUUAUUUGUUUGACCGAGAAACACAAGCUUGUUCUAAUCUGUCUGGUAUGGGUAAACAUGGCAAGAAGCAGUUGGAUCCUUUGAUGAUCUAUGGCAUAUGGUGUCAUUUAAUACAACGGUUUAAGAUCAAUGAAUCUGACUGGCAACGAAUCAAACAGAACAUAGACUCCAAAUGUAGAACAGCUUUCCGUAGAAAGUCAAGAGGUUUGCCUCUUGCUGUAAAGGCUUUCCGUGGAAGAGCCCCACCAAGUUAUGUUCAUAACACAGGGUUUAAUUUUAAUUCAGUCGUGAAUUCACAGAGUAAUUUUUAUGAUUCAAAUCUACAUGAAGACACAAAAUUUCAUAUACAACAGCAGAGUGAACUAGAUAUUCAGCAAGCUGUUACAAUGCAAGGUGAAGCCUUACAGCAAGGGGAGAUUCAAAUCCUGCAUGCUACACCAGAACAGAUAUCACAGCUACAACAUGCACAACACAUUCAAAUUUUACAAGGUGAUCAAGUCAUACAGCAACUUCAGAGUGCUGAUAACCAAGAAGGUGUCCAAGUUGUUUCAAUGGGUACUCCUGACAGAGUUCAUGUUGCCACAGUGACAACAGAAAAUGGAGAGAUAGUUCACAUUCACCAGGCUCGUUCAUUGGCAAAUGUAGGUGCAUCGACAGCAACAACAGCAGCAACACCAACAAUAACAACAGCAACAACGGAUGGUAGCCAAACCAAUGUAUAGCAGGUAUCCAAGCCUUGACGUCUACUUUUCUAGUUGUGUCUAUGGCUGACAGCUCUUCUACUUUGGUGAAAUAACAAAAUUACUAUAUAUAUAUAUAUAUAUAUAUAGCAUAUAUAUAUAACAUGUAUACUCGAGUAAACACAUAAAUGUGAAACAAGGUGGGAAAAAAUAGUUCUUGGAUACCAGAAGUAGAGUGAUAUGUGUGUGUGUGUGUGUAUAUAUAUAUAUAUAUAUGUAUAUAAUAUACUCAUGUGGAUAUUAUAUAUGUGUGUGUGUGUGUAUA